UGGGGAAUAUUGGACAAUGGGGGAAACCCUGAUCCAGCCAUGCCGCGUGAGUGAUGAAGGCCUUAGGGUUGUAAAGCUCUUUUACCAGGGAAGAUGAUGACGGUACCUGGAGAAUAAGCACCGGCAAACUUCGUGCCAGCAGCCGCGGUAAUACGAAGGGUGCAAGCGUUGUUCGGAAUCACUGGGCGUAAAGCGCGCGUAGGCGGCUUUUUAAGUCAGGGGUGAAAUGCCUGGGCUCAACCCAGGAACUGCCUUUGAAACUGAGAAGCUAGAGUGUCGGAGGGGAUGGCGGAAUUGCUAAUGUAGAGGUGAAAUUCGUAGAUAUUAGCAGGAACACCGGUGGCGAAGGCGGCCAUCUGGACGACAACUGACGCUGAGGCGCGAAAGCGUGGGGAUCAAACAGGAUUAGAUACCCCGGUAGUCC
rnacentral:rRNA from 1 species